rnacentral:lncRNA from 1 species
CAGCCGAAGCGCAACUUUUCCCCAGGCAAAGUGAAAUCAAGCCGCGGACUCGGACAAAAUAUAGACCCCGUUUUUCAACUUAAAAUUAGCGAAAGAAAAGCGACCCGGCUGCCCGGUCGGACCCGUCGACGCUCGGUGGUCUUCUGGAGAGGAGCCGUGCGAGGCCCGAGCUCUUCCCGCCGGGUUUGGAGCACUUUUGAAGACGGGCGGAAAGUGGGUGAUGAGUCCUGGGCUGUAAAAAGAAGCGAGAACUUGCUUUGCAGCCCGAGUAGUUCUUCUUUCAAUUGUUAUUGUCGCUUAAAAAAAUCUUUAAAAUCACUCAAACUUGGUCUCGGCCGCGUCGAAAGUGGGAGAAAAGUGCUUUCCUGGUCGGAACAUGGAACUGCAAGGCCUGCAAGAGGCGCUGAAAGUAGAGAUCCAAUGUCAUCAGGUGGUGCACACAUGAAAGCAGGCUCUCAUGGACUACGUUAGAAUCUAAGCUUCAUGCACGUGGAGCUGUUACAGUUUUAUUUGUUGUUUGGAGCUGAACGGAGAGGAAAUCAUAAUGAGGGAAAAGUUUGGAUAAACUGAGAGGGAUCGAUAUGAACGCUAAGCAUGAG